rnacentral:lncRNA from 1 species
UCUCAAACUCCUGACCUCAAGUGAUCUGCCGGCCUCAGCCUUCCAAAGUGCCGGGAUUACAGGUGUGAGCCACUGUGCCUACCCUUUUUUUUUUUUUUUUUGACAGAGUCUCACUCUGUCGCCCAGGCUGGAGUGCAGUGGUGCGAUCUUGGCUCACUGCAACCUCUGCCUCCCGGGUUCAAGUGAUUCUCCUGCCUCAGCCUCCAGAAUAGCUGGAACUACAGGCGCCCGCCACCACACCCGGCUAAUUUUUUAUAUUUUUAGUAGAGAUGGGGUUUCAACAUGUUAGCCAGGAUGGUCUCGAUCUCCUGACCUCAUGAUCCGCCCUCCUUGCCCUCCCAAAGUGCUGGGAUUACAGGAGUGUUUCGUAGAGAUGGGGUUUCACCAUGUUAGCCAGGAUGGUCUUGAUCUCCUGAUCUCGUGAUCUGCCCACCUCGGCCUCCCAAAGUGCUGGAAUGACAGGCGUGAGCCACUGAGCCCGGCUUAAUUUUUGUAUUUUUAAUAGAGAUGGGGUUUCACCACAUUGGCCAAGCUAGUCUCGAGCUCCUGACCUCAAGUGAUCCACCCACCUCGGCCUCCCAAAGUGCUGGGAUUACAGGCGUGAGCCACCAUACCAGCCUCUUUUUUGUUGUUUAUUCUUUGACCUCACAUGAGCAGAUGAUUUUCUUUUUUUAUUUUUUUAGAGACGGGGCUCACUCUGCUGCCCAGGUGGGAGUGCAGGGGCGCGACUGUAGAUCACUGCAGCCUCCAGCCCCUGGGCUCAAGCUAUCCUCCUCUCUCAGCCUCCUGAGUAGCUGGGACUACAGGUAGUUAUUUGAGGCAGUAUGUCCUAG